rnacentral:lncRNA from 1 species
CUUCCAAGAGUUAUCUCUUUCCAUUAAAAAAUCUGUUUAGUGUCAAAUUCCUUUGAGACCAACAGGGCGCCCACCGUGUUCUCAGCCACAAAACAACCCAUGAUGCCACAACCAAAGAAGAAGAAGACCACACCACAGGAAACUAUCGAGGGUGAAAGGGAGCAAAAGAGAGGGCUUGUUUCUAUUGAUCAAGACAACACAGACACCCUAGAGAAACUAAAAACAAUCGAGGAUAGUUUAAGAGCAA